UACGGGGGGGGCAAGCGUUGUUCGGAAUUACUGGGCGUAAAGGGCUCGUAGGCGGCCAACUAAGUCGGAUGUGAAAUCCCUCGGCUUAACCGGGGAACUGCGUCUGAUACUGGAUGGCUAGAGUUUGGGAGAGGGAUGCGGAAUUCCAGGUGUAGCGGUGAAAUGCGUAGAUAUCUGGAGGAACACCGGUGGCGAAGGCGGCAUCCUGGACCAACACUGACACUGAGGAGCGAAAGCCAGGGGAGCAAACGGG
rnacentral:rRNA from 1 species